rnacentral:rRNA from 1 species
AUUGAACGCUGGCGGCAGGCCUAACACAUGCAAGUCGAACGAGUUGCGGACGGGUGAGUAAUGUCUGGGAAACUGCCCGAUGGAGGGGGAUAACUACUGGAAACGGUAGCUAAUACCGCAUACCAUCGGAUGUGCCCAGAUGGGAUUAGCUUGUAGGUGCUGUAACUGCUCACAUAGGCGACUAUCCCUAGCUUGUCUGAGAGGAUGCACAGCCACACUGGAACUGAGACACGGUCCAGAGUCGUACGGGAGGCAGCAGUGGGGAAUAUGGCACAAUGGGCGCAAGCCUGAUGCAGCCAUGCCGCGGGUAUGAAGAAGGCCUUCGGGUUGUAAAGUACUUUCAGCGGGGAGGCGUUACCCGCAGAAGAAGCACCGGCUAACUCCGUGCCAGCAGCCGCGGUAAUAC